CAGUUUAUGGGGUUGGGGCAUUUAGGGAGCCUCCAGGGUCCCUACAGUCUCAUCUGAUCCCUUCCUUCCUUCCUCCUGUGAGGAAGGAGGAACCUAGAAGCACAAGUUUGAGUGGGUAGGUGGCAUUGAGGGGCCACCGCUCAUGGCAGCUGGGUUUCUGAGAAUGCUGUCUCUGGCUUUGCCCCAGGCCUGAUGCUGAGUGAAUGGAGCUUUCUGCAGGGAGUACUCCUGCUUUCAGCUCUGGCUCUGGCAGGGAGGGACUGUGGGAGGCCAGGGGAAGGGGCUCAAUACCUUCUGACAUUGCCCCCCACCACCCCAGAACUUCUGCAGCCGAGCUGCGCUGGAGGCCCUGGGGUCCUGUCUGAACAACAAGUACUCGGAGGGUUAUCCUGGCAAGAGGUGAGGGCUGGAGGGCAGUGUCAGGGAUGGUGCUCCCAGUGGGGGAACCCACCUGUACCUUCCCAGUGUUCAUUGAGGAGUGAACUUCCCAGUCCUUUGCUGAUGGUUGAGAGUCCUUUCUCUGUACCCUCAUUACCCCUCUCCCACGGCAGAUACUAUGGGGGAGCAGAGGUGGUGGAUGAAAUUGAGCUGCUGUGCCAGCGCCGGGCCUUGGAAGCCUUUGACCUGGAUCCUGCACAGUGGGGAGUCAAUGUCCAGCCCUACUCCGGGUCCCCAGCCAACCUGGCCGUCUAUACAGCCCUUCUGCAACCUCACGACCGGAUCAUGGGGCUGGACCUGCCCGAUGGGGGCCAUCUCACCCACGGCUACAUGUCUGACGUCAAGCGGAUAUCAGCCACGUCCAUCUUCUUCGAGUCUAUGCCCUAUAAGCUCAACGUGAGUGCUCUAGGGUGUGGGGAGGGGCUCUUGGCCCUGGUGGUGGUCCUGCCCUGGAGAAGCUGAGGGACUGGAGUGCUGGGCGGUCCUCAGGGUUAAGGAGGAGA
rnacentral:sRNA from 1 species